GAAAUCUUAAGAUUCCUUGCUGAGGGCAACUAUGUGAUUGUAAUUUCUUGUUUAGUCGGCCUUACCCUUUGAAAUUCAGGCCCCAAAUAUCAAGAUAUGAUUUAGAGGAUAGAAGAUUCUAUACUUGGCUUUUAGCAUGGAUCAUGCAGGCUAAAUUAACUUCCUUGUUUUAUUUUUGAAGCUAGCAGAGCAUUCCAAGAUUCCCUUGUAUCUGCCUAUUGUGUGUUACAGUUCUUUGUGUUAUUGCAUAUGCAUUGAUGAUAUGCUUAGGUUAUGUUUGGUAGGAUGUAAUAUAAUGUAGUAUAACUAGAAAGAAAUGGAAUGAGAAUCUAGUGUCAUGGCAAUUCUAAUCCUAUGCUUGGCUGCGAAAAUAAAAGUUAAUGUAAUCAUACUACAAAUUUUUCCCCUAUAUUCAGUAGUUUAUUCGUCGGUGGUGGUGGCAAC
rnacentral:misc_RNA from 1 species